AGUGAACGCUGGCGGUAUGCCUAACACAUGCAAGUCGAACGGCAGCACAGUAAGAGCUUGCUCUUACGGGUGGCGAGUGGCGGACGGGUGAGGAAUACAUCGGAAUCUACUUUUUCGUGGGUGAUAACGUAGGGAAACUUCCGCUAAUACCUCAUACGACCUACGGGUGAAAGCAGGGGAUCUUCGGACCUUGCGCGAUUGAAUUAGCCGAUGUCGGAUUAGCUAGUUGGCGGGGUAAAGGCCCACCAAGGCGACGAUCCGUAGCUGGUCUGAGAGGAUGAUCAGCCACACUGGAACUGAGACACGGUCCAGACUCCUACGGGAGGCAGCAGUGGGGAAUAUUGGACAAUGGGCGCAAGCCUGAUCCAGCAAUACCGCGUGGGUGAAGAAGGCCUUCGGGUUGUAAAGCCCUUUUGUCGGGAAAGAAAAGCAGCAGGUUAAUACCCCGCUGUUCUGACGGUACCCAAAGAAUAAGCACCGGCUAACUUCGUG
rnacentral:rRNA from 1 species